rnacentral:lncRNA from 1 species
GCCAACUUUUGACUUAGCUCCUCACUAGAGAUUUUGGCAGUCAUUCUGCCUGGACCUAAUAGCCAGGGUGAGAAGCAGAUCAGCACAAAAGUUCAAUGUGAGAGCCCUGGAGCCAGCUUGUAGGGCUCCAAGUCCCAGCUCUGGCCCUCAUUAGCUAUGUGACCUUCAGGCAAGGAACAGCUUCUCUGACUCUGCAUCUUCAUUGGUAAAAAGGGGACAGUAAUAAUUCCUACCUCAGGGUUGUUUGGAUGGAAAAUUUGUAACAGACAUGGAAGAGUCUAGUACAGCAACUAGCCAAGCAUAGGCAGGCGAUCUAAAGCUAACUUUGGCCAAUUAAGCAAAAAAGGAGUGUGUUAAAAAGGAUCAGAAAUCUCAGAUCAUUUGAAAAGCUAGACAAGACUUGAGGCUUGGGCGGGUGCAGUGGCUCGCACCUGUAAUACCUGCACUUUGGGAGCAACAUUCUCCCCUUCUGUCUUAGUGUCAGAACCCCUUUGUUAUUAGGGAUAGUCACGUACCCAGCAAAUAAGCCACAUCUCCCAGCCUCCAUUCCAGGUAGGGGUGGGUGGUUAGUGAGAUGGAAGCAGAAGUCAUUGGGUGGAGCUUUUGGGAAAGCUCUUUAAAAGCGCCCUUUGCUCUUCUCCCCUUUCCUCCAUUUUCCCUUCCCUAAACACAAAAUUGGCAGCUAGAGCUCCAGUAACCAUCUUGUAGCAAACCUAACAUUGGAAGCCAUUUGUCAAGGUUGGCAGGGCAGAAAUACAGCCUCUGAGUAUCUGAUGACCUGUCCUGCCAGUCCUGGACUCCGAAACAUUAUUUUUCUUUUAUGUGGUGGAAAAAAUAAACCUGCUUCUCGUUUAAGCCAUUGUUAGUUUGAGUCGCUCUUCCUAGCAGCUGAAGGUAAUUCCUUACUAAUACCAGCUGGCCUCAGUAGUGUCACAGGUCCUUCUCUUCUAGCAAUCCAAGAUGUCACCAUCCUCUGGCGCAUAAGAAAAUCCCAGGAAUGCACUUGAGGCCCCAGAGCUGCUGGCCACAGUGUCAGGGGUACAGCCAAUGGACUUGGACACAGCUUCCUGGGUGAACUCUGGGUCAAAAUGCUUC